GCAGGGGCGUAAGGAGGAAAAGGACCAACCUCUGCUCGAAAGUCCGUGUAGUUCUGUGUCUCACCGCGGUCGGAGGCUGCCGGCUUCCCCCACGAAGAGCUGGGUGCUUACUGCUAUCAUGAGUGUGUUCAACAGUCCGAAAGAGCUCAUCUUGUCUUGCCUGGCAGCAUUACGCAGGAUCCUCUGUAUAUGCCGGCAGCCCCCCGACAGUGGAGAAUGUGACGAGUUACUGCAUCGCCCGGUUCAGGAGACUGAUCCUGCGCCAAACUGCAGUUCUGUGAAGCCCUGGUUUGACCCUGGAAAUGGAUGCUGUUAAUUUCUUGUUAAGAAGCUGCUGCCUUCAUGGGGGCUGGUGUGUGUGGCUCAGUGGGUUAGACCUCUGUGUCUGUGAUUGGAAGGUCGCUGGUCUGAAUCCUGUGCCCAGCAGAACAGUCUCAUCAUUGCAGGACCCUUCAGCAAAGGCCCUUAGCAGCCUGAAAAAUGACCCCUGACCCUGUGCUCUCACUGUAUAUACAGUACUGUGCAAAAGUCUUAGGCAGUCCAAAGAAAUGUUUAAAGCUGUUUAUCUGGGUAGCAA